rnacentral:lncRNA from 1 species
UGGUAAACUUAUAUUUUCAAAUGACAAACUCGCUAAUAUUAUGUAACAUACCAAGCCUCAUAGCAUUCAUAUUCCAAGCACUAAGUCUUACCUGCCUGCUCAGAUGCGUCAAUCCGCCUUCUGUCUCCCACUACCAAAAGACGUGGAGACCGAGGUCAACAUUUAAAUUUCAUAAGAAAUGCAUACAAACUUAAGGUCACAUAAUUAAAAAACACUUGACGAAUACAAUAACAUUGGUCCAACUUGACGAGUACAAUAACACUAGUACAAUGAUAUCAUAGGUGGUCUAAUUUCACGCAGCCUUUCCCCUUUUUCCCACUAUCUUCUACAUGACCUUUACCCUUGUCUGACGAAGGUAGCUUGCACAAAGGAAUUCAAUUUCUUCAUAAAGGAGUUUUUGGCUAACUGAUUUCGCGAACAUUUAACAUUUGUAGACAAUUAAACGGUCAGCUCAACUCUCCAUCCACCAAAUCAACACGUCUACUGACAAAUUCAACCGGUGAGCAAUGGCAAUAAUGGAGUAAAGUUCAAUGGCCAAUGGGACAAUUUUAAAAGUUCAACGAAUAAACCAUGACGUGAUGUAAAGUAACAGCCAAUGAAAUAUUUAACUCCUUUCUAGACAGUGUCUUCUUUUGAGGCUAUAAUUGCCACGUACAUCUUUCAUUAAGCCAUAUUUGACAAAACUUUUUGAAAUUUUAAGCUACCAGUCUCCAUUAAAUUUGUGAUUAAAAACUAAAUAAAAAUUGUAAAUUUAAUAAAAUGUACGAUUAAAAUUUAAAAAUGAAAUUUGGUCAAUUUAUAAUUUUCCAAAAAGCUGUAACAGGUACGAAGUUAGGAAAAGGGCUUCCAAAUUAAAAAUAAAAAAUAAAAGGACAGAAUUGUAACUACAUGACUAAU